rnacentral:tRNA from 1 species
GGGGUUAUGGCUCAGUGGUUGAGCACUUACCUCGAAUGUGUGAGGCACUGAGUUCAAUCCUCAGCACCA